rnacentral:rRNA from 1 species
CACGGAGUUAGCCGAUCCUUAUUCUUACAGUACCGUCAAGGUUCUUCGCAAAGAACUGUUUCUUCCUGUACAAAAGCAGUUUACACACCAUAGAUGCGUCAUCCUGCGCGCGGCAUGGCUGGUUCAGGCUUGCGCCCAUUGACCAAUAUUCCUCACUGCUGCCUCCCGUAGGAGUCUGGUCCGUGUCUCAGUACCAGUGUGGGGGAUCUCCCUCUCAGGACCCCUACCCAUCAUCGUCUUGGUAAGCCGUUACCUUACCAACUAACUAAUGGGACGCAUGCUCAUCUUAUACCAAUAAAUCUUUAAUAUUAAAAUGAUGCCAUUUAAACAUUCUAUAAGGUAUUAAUCCAAAUUUCUCUGGGCUAUCCCUUAGUAUAAGGUAGAUUGCAUACGCGUUACGCACCCGUGCGCCGGUCUCAAGCACCGAAGUGCUCUACCCCUCGACUUGCAUGUGUUAGGCCUGCCGCUAGCGUUCAUCCUGAGCCAGGAUCAAACU